UUAUUGCUCUUAAAUAUUUGAUAAUUUCACCUUUUCAUAGUGUGGUAUCUUGAGUUACAAAAACGACUGUCAUUCAGUGAAAUGCAAAAAAACACUUUUAUUGUUAGAUUUUUUGAAAAAUAAGUAGAUGUUGUGAAUAAUGAUGAUAAACCUUUCUGGUCAAGUUCACUGUUUGAUAUAGGUAUCUAGUUGUUAACUUCUAAUAUUAGCUUAAGUAAAAGUUUCGUCAUUCAGGGUAAUGUUUUGUCAUUCGGUGUAAUGCAAAUUGUAUGUUACACCACAGUGUCAUCUAUUACACUGAAUGAGAGUGUCACUGUUUAGAUAACAUUUUUAGCAUUUUAUUUCUAUUUCAGAUAAAUGAGGGAUGUUUAGCACAAAAAAAUAUAUCAAACUUUAUCAAUAUUAAUGUUUUAAUGUAUUUUUGUCGUUUUGGUACUGAUUUCUUUUAGAUGCCCACAAACAAAGAGAAAGUUUCUAGGCACUGGCAGAAAGUUAAUGCAGACCCAGUAGCUAGGGCAAUGCAUUUAGCAAGGAGACGAGAAAGCAACCAGAGAAGAAAGCAAGCUGCCUUGGCUGCAAAUCCUGAUCACCCGUCAAUCAGGAAUUUAUCAGAUGCUGCAGCUGAGAAGAGGCGAAAGCAAUGGCGGGAAAAUCAAAGAAAACACAGGGCAGAAGCUAAACGUAUAAGGGCAGUUCUGGAUCUUAUUAUACAGUAUUACCACCUGUUCAGUUAAUUUUUACGAAUAUGAUAUGCAUUAUGGAAUAAAAAUGAUUAUUAAUUUCA